AGAGCACUCCUACGGGAGCAGCAGUGGGGAAUAUUGCACAAUGGGCGCAAGCCUGAUGCAGCCAUGCCGCGUGUAUGAAGAAGGCCUUCGGGUUGUAAAGUACUUUCAGCAGUGAGGAAGGUGGAUAUGUUAAUAGCAUAUUCAUUUGACGUUAGCUGCAGAAGAAGCACCGGCUAACUCCGUGCCAGCAGCCGCGGUAAUACGGAGGGUGCGAGCGUUAAUCGGAAUUACUGGGCGUAAAGCGCAUGCAGGUGGUUUGUUAAGUCAGAUGUGAAAGCCCGGGGCUCAACCUCGGAAUUGCAUUUGAAACUGGCAAACUAGAGUACUGUAGAGGGGGUAGAAUUUCAGGUGUAGCGGUGAAAUGCGUAGAGAUCUGAAGGAAUACCGGUGGCGAAGGCGGCCCCCUGGACAGAUACUGACACUCAGAUGCGAAAGCGUGGGGAGCAAACAGGAUUAGAUACCCUGGUAG
rnacentral:rRNA from 1 species